UACAGAGGGUGCAAGCGUUGUUCGGAAUUAUUGGGCGUAAAGCGCGUGUAGGCGGCUUUGCAAGUCGGGUGUGAAAGCCCUCAGCUCAACUGAGGAAGUGCGCCCGAAACUGCGAAGCUUGAGUACCGGAGAGGAUGGCGGAAUUCCCCAAGUAGAGGUGAAAUUCGUAGAUAUGGGGAGGAACACCGGUGGCGAAGGCGGCCAUCUGGACGGAUACUGACGCUGAGACGCGAAAGCGUGGGGAGCAAACAGG
rnacentral:rRNA from 1 species